AUUCCACAAGAAAUAAAAUUACAAAAUGUGGUUGUCGUGUAAACUCAUCUGGUCCUGUCUAUUUUUAGAAUCGCUUAAUGGACAAGCUCCAUGCUGUUUUUCCACAAUAAAAGCAUAGGAGCUUAAAAUAGAGUUAAACCUGAUUUAAAUUCAGGGCCAGAGCCAGCCAUCAUAACCACAAGAAAUUCAAGUUUUGCUUGUGCCGGUAUUGACCAGUCACCAGCAAAAAUCCCUCAUCGCUUGGAUAAACAUCAUCCCGUUUUGGUUUGGAGAAACUUCUGUUGGUGGAGCUGUUUCUCAAAAUAUUCUCUGUCCUCGUGUACUCCCAUGUGAGGUGUGGCUGUAUUCACGAGGACACACUUUUUCCCUCCUGGUGGAUUCAACUCUCUUCAGCAGAUGGAUCAAGCACUUGUUGAUGGAUGCCUGGCUGUAUUUCCCAGGCAUAAAGAUUUGAUGCCAGAGCCAGCCAUCAUGUCCACAGGAAAUUCAAGUUGUGCUUGUGCUGGUAUAUUGACCUGUCACCAGCAACAAGCCCUCAUCAUCGCUUGGGUAUGAUUUUCGUAACUUUUAUUACCUGUGACCUGCUAAACAUUUCUAUUGAUUCAUUACUUCACGAAUGCAAUGUGUCAAAUGGAAACCUUUAAUUCUUCUCUUUAUUAGA